GUCGCGCGGACGGCAGCGUGGGCCGUCGGUCCCGGCAGGUGGGCAGCUUCGGGCGGGCCUCUGACCCGGCGCUCGCGGCGCGCUCGGCUGUGCGCGUCUCCUGGCUCCCCAGCCCCACGUGCUCUGCAGGCCGCGCAGGCAACUUUGAACCAGUGCAAUGGCGACUGCGGUGAGCAGGGCUCCCAAGAAUGCUGACCUGUGGUCCUCGCAUGACAAAAUGCUGGCGCAGCCCCUGAAAGACAGCGACAUCGAGGUUUACAACAUCAUUAAGAAGGAGAGUAACCGGCAGAGGGUUGGACUAGAGCUGAUCGCCUCAGAGAAUUUCGCCAGCCGAGCAGUUUUGGAGGCCCUGGGCUCCUGCUUAAAUAACAAGUACUCUGAGGGGUACCCUGGCCAGAGGUAUUACGGCGGGACUGAGUUUGUUGAUGAGCUGGAGACCCUCUGUCAGAAGCGAGCGCUGCAGGUCUACGGUCUGGACCCCCAGUGCUGGGGGGUCAACGUCCAGCCCUACUCGGGCUCCCCUGCCAACUUCGCAGUGUACACCGCCCUGGUGGAACCCCACGGGCGCAUCAUGGGCCUGGACCUGCCCGACGGAGGCCACCUGACCCACGGGUUCAUGACGGACAAGAAGAAAAUCUCUGCUACAUCCAUCUUUUUUGAAUCUAUGCCCUAUAAGGUGAACCCCGACACUGGCUACAUCAACUACGACCAGCUGGAGGAAAACGCCCGCCUCUUCCACCCGAAGCUCAUUAUCGCAGGAACCAGCUGCUACUCCCGAAACCUGGACUACGCUCGAUUGCGGAAGAUUGCCGAUGACAACGGGGCGUAUCUCAUGGCCGACAUGGCGCACAUCAGCGGGCUGGUGGCGGCUGGCGUGGUGCCCUCCCCCUUCGAGCACUGCCACGUGGUGUCCACCACCACCCACAAGACCCUGCGAGGCUGCCGCGCGGGCAUGAUCUUCUACAGGCGAGGAGUGCGCAGCACGGACCCCAAAACCGGCAAAGAGAUUCUGUACAACCUGGAGUCGCUCAUCAACUCUGCUGUGUUCCCAGGGCUGCAGGGCGGGCCCCACAACCACGCCAUUGCUGCCGCAGGAUUGAACACAGGCCUGCACCCUCACCUAGAAUCUGACCUGAAAGGGCUGCAUGAUUUGGCAUCAACGCCCAGCUUUAAGCAGCAUUUUCAUCUAUGGAGCGGAGAGGACCGCCUGCGAACUCUGCCUCACUUAGAACAGCUCUCCUGUGCAAGCUUACCCGCACCAAACUCCCCCGCCUGGGAGAAAGGCUGCCUCAGAAGCACAUCCUCAAACAGAAGAUGUCUGGCCGCGUGGCCAGGUCACUGCAGGGGGUGGCCGUGGCUCUGAAGCAGGCCAUGACUCCAGAGUUCCGGGUGUACCAGCAGCAGGUGGUGGCCAACUGCAGGGCGCUGGCUGAGGCCCUGACGGAGCUGGGCUACAAAAUAGUAACAGGCACCCCCUCAGCCCUGCUGCUCAGAGCCUCCAGUGAGUCCCGCACUUCCUGAGCUCCUGGCCUGUCCUCGCCCCUCAUUCACUCUGCUCUGAAGACUGAAGCCGGUCAUGGUCACUGAUGGCAGCCAGCAUGUCUGGUACCAACCUGCCUGGCGCUGGCCAAGCACGAUUCACAGGCCUUCAUUUCAGCCUCACGACAGCCUUGCAUGUUGUUGGUCUUAGGUUACAGAUGGGCAUCUGAGGUUCCACAAUGCUGAGCUGCCUGCCUAAAGCCACGGCCAGAAAGUGGGAGGCUGUGGGGACUGUGCCUUAAGCUUUGGGCUGUAAGGUCCAGAGGUAAGCGCUGACUUGGUUUGUGGCAUCUUUGAAGUCACAGCUGUUGCUCAAGUCAGUGACUUGGUACUAAUGAGAGUUCAAAGUGGAAAGAUCCGGGUACUGUACUUGGAAGACUUCUGGGCGCUUGGGCCAGUUGCAGAAUGUUCUUGUCGCCUCGCCAUUUUCAUCUGCACCACUCUGCUACGAUCCCCUUCGCAGGAGUAGAGAUCAGAUAUGACAGCCAGUAGUGCUGGCACCCAACACGUGCUCAGCAGCGGGAGCGGGUACCCGCUGUCCUGUAAACGGGACCACCCCCUGCUGCCUCGCAGGGAGCUGGAAGAUUGGCUUCAGAGAUGGGCAGGGACUGCCCAGUGAUGUGUCAGAGAAGGCGGAAUCCUGAGCAGCACUGAGCGAGCGGCCCUCCCAGGCAGCCGAGACCCUUGCCGGGCAGCCGGUGGCUGGGUCUUUGCAGUGGGCAGGCUGGCCAUUCUCCCCUCAGCCUCAGCCGCUGUGUCGCCGAGCACCCUACACCACUCGGUCCUUUCUGUUCAGCUCUCGGGUCCUGAGCGUCUUUCCUUGAGGCGAGUGAAGCCUUCCAGGACACGUGGUGGGGCUCCCUGUCCUGCCCCAUCUGCUUCAGCCCCGUCCUCCCAGCCCAUUCUUAGGAGAAAUUCCUCCACUCGCAUGGAGUCACCAUCUGCAUCCUUACAUGUC